rnacentral:rRNA from 1 species
CUACGGGUUGCACCAGUGAGGAAUUUUGCGCAAUGGGGGGAACCCUGACGCAGCAACGCCGUGUGAGUGAAGAAGGCCUUUGGGUCGUAAAGCUCUGUCAACUGGGAAGAAGUUACUGUGCUUUAAUAGAGUGCAGUAUUGACGGUACCAGUGGAGGAAGCGUCGGCUAACUCCGUGCCAGCAGCCGCGGUAGCACGGGGGACGCAAGCGUUAUUCGGAAUUAUUGGGCGUAAAGGGCGCGUAGGCGGUCUUGUCGGUCAGGUGUGAAAGCCCGGGGCUCAACCCCGGACGUGCACUUGAAACAGCAAGACUUGAGUACGGGAGAGGAAAGCGGAAUUCCUGGUGUAGAGGUGAAAUUCGUAGAUAUCAGGAGGAACACCGAUGGCGAAGGUAGCUUUCUGGACCGAAACUGACGCUGAGGCGCGAAGGCGUGGGUAGCGAACGGGAUUAGAUACCCCGGUAGUC